rnacentral:lncRNA from 1 species
UUAAACAUAUUAAAAUUAUCCUAGGGAAUAAUUAUACAACAUUACUUAAUUACUUAAAAAAAUUAACAUGCAAGUAUUAAUUACUUAAAAAAAUUAACAUACGAGUCCACACAAAUUUAUUUGUUGUUGUAUAAAUUACAAUAAUAUAAAUAUAAGUUUGUAAACUUACCUUAAAUAUGGAACCCUUUGUGUUCAAGCUUUGGAAUGGAUCUGGAAUGACUUUGAAAAUGGUAAGGGAAAUAAAAUAAUAAAUAACAUUAAAAUAUUAAAAUUAUCCUAGGGAAUAAUUAUACAACAUUACUUAAUUACUUAAAAAAAUUAACAUGUAAUUGUUAACAUUACUUAAUUACUUACAAAAACUAACAUGCAAGUAUUAAUUACUUUAAAAAAUUAACAUGUAAUUGUUAACAUUACUUAAUUACUUACAAAAACUAACAUGCAAGUAUGAAUUACUUAAAAAAAAUUAACAUACGAGUCCACACAAAUUUUUUUGUUGUUGUAUAAAUUAUAAUAAUAUAAAUAUAAGUUUGUAAACUUACUUUAAAUAUGGAACCCUUUGUGUUCAAGCUCUGGAAUGGAUCUGGAAUGACUUUGAAAGGGGUAAGGGAAGAAGAAGAAACGAAAAUGCUCUGAAUGGCUCUGAUACUCCACCUCUUGCAAGAAUAUCACAAUGGCAGCUUUGAAAAGGGUAAGGGAAGAAGAAGAAACGAAAAUGCUCUGAAUGGCUCUAAUACUCCACCUUUUGAAAGAAUAUCGGCACACGGUUUUGAAUGAAACCACCAUCCAUGGUCUGAAAAGAAUACAAGUUAUAAUUGUAAAAGUGGUCUGAAAUUGUCAAAAUAAUUGUAAAAGUUGUCGGGAAUCCUGAGUGAGUCAUAUGUCCUCCUGACAGGAGGAACCCACACACACACACAACGCACACAACCACACACGCACACAACGCACGCACAUAAACAUCACACACGCAGACACGACCUCUGUCUCUCUCUCU